AGUUCUUGAAGAAACAAGUAUGGUGCUCCCAGGAGAGUGGACAAGCUAACCAUUGCAUCCGAGGGGACUUGAGAUAAAGACCAAAGCCCUCACCUGCCCUGGAGGCCUUGAGUGACAUGGUCCUCCCCUCACCUGCCUGGGGAAACCACUCUUGCUCCUGAGGGCUCCAGACUUCACCUGCAGUUGCUCUCUUAGUUCAUCGAAACAGAUGGGCUUCUUCCUGCCUCAGGGCCAUUGCUCCUGCUGUCCUCCUGCCUGAAUCAUCGCAGCAGACUGCCAGCCCUUCUGCUGUCUUUGGCUGCACACUUCUUUUCUUUGGCCAGCCAAGAGAUGACUGAAGUUUGAAUUUGAAUGCCUUAAGGCCAGUAGACUUCCUCCAGUGGGCCUUCAGUUCUAAUAUUUCUUGUUGUCUUACCCCUGCCAGAUGCACACAUUUGUGUUACCUGCCUGAUCUCUUAAAGGAAUUUGAGUUUGCAAUCUCUGGACUAAUUAAUGUCUACUGAUCAACCAAUAAAGCACAAAUGCCACCUCCUCACAAAAACUUUCACAGCCCCACAAAAAAUCCUGUACUUUCCCUUCAUAGCACUUGUCACAACAACAAUUAAAUAACUAAUUGUGUUAUUACA
rnacentral:lncRNA from 1 species